GACGAACGCUGGCGGCGUGCUUAACACAUGCAAGUCGAACGAGGUGGCGAACGGGUGAGUAAUACGUGGGUAACCUGCCCUCAUUGUUGGGAUAAGCCUUGGAAACGGGGACUAAUACCGACUAAAGGGGGAUGGGCUCGCGGCUUAUCGGCUUGUUGGUGGGGCGAUGGCCUACGAAGGCGGUGACGGGUAGCCGGCCUGUGAGGGUGACCGGCGUGGUUGGACUGUUGAUACGGCCCAGGGUCCUACCAGAGGGAGCAGUGGGAGAUAUUGCGCAAUGGGCGUGAGCCAGUACCAGCUACGCAGCGUGGGGGUUGAAGGUGUUCGGGUUGUUCACCUCGUUCGAUAUCGAAACGGUAGGUGGAGAAGAAGCGCCGGCUAACUACGUGCCAGCCGCCGCGGUAAUUC
rnacentral:rRNA from 1 species